GACGAACGCUGGCGGCGUGCUUAACACAUGCAAGUCGAACGGAAAGGCCCUGCUUUUGUGGGGUGCUCGAGUGGCGAACGGGUGAGUAACACGUGAGUAACCUGCCCUUGACUUUGGGAGAACUUCAGGAAACUGGGGCUAAUACCGGAUAGGAGCUCCUGCUGCAUGGUGGGGGUUGGAAAGUUUCGGCGGUUGGGGAUGGACUCGCGGCUUAUCAGCUUGUUGGUGGGGUAGUGGCUUACCAAGGCUUUGACGGGUAGCCGGCCUGAGAGGGUGACCGGCCACAUUGGGACUGAGGUACGGCCCAGACUCCUACGGGAGGCAGCAGUGGGGAAUAUUGCACAAUGGGCGGAAGCCUGAUGCAGCAACGCCGCGUGCGGGAUGACGGCCUUCGGGUUGUAAACCGCUUUCGCCUGUGACGAAGCGUGAGUGACGGUAAUGGGUAAAGAAGCACCGGCUAACUACGUG
rnacentral:rRNA from 1 species